GCUUUUUCAGUUUAUUUUUCAUGAUGACGGGUAAAUUAAUUUGUUGUGUUUUGCAGUUCACGAAUAAAGAAAAUUAUUUUAUAGUUGCGUUUUUUUUUUCUGUAACAAGUUCGAUUUUUGUUUUUCAGUGUGAUUCUUUUCUCUAUCUCUCUCUCUAAAUCAAGUUUUUAAACAAACACAAUGUUGACUGAAUAUCAAAUUUUAUUACAUUUGUAUAUCUUUAUUCUCAACAAACCAUUAUACAAGAGAAGACAAUUAUGUACAAUAUUCAGUUU
rnacentral:lncRNA from 1 species